AUUAAAAACCAAUGCCCUUCGGGGCUCUCUGGUGAUUCAUAAUAACUUCUCGAAUCGCACGGCCUUGCGCCGGCGAUGGUUCAUUCAAAUUUCUGCCCUAUCAACUUUCGACGGCUGGGUCUUGGCCAGCCGUGGUGACAACGGGUAACGGAGGGUUAGGGCUCGACCCCGGAGAAGGAGCCUGAGAAACGGCUACUACAUCCAAGGAAGGCAGCAGGCGCGCAAAUUACCCAAUCCCGACACGGGGAGGUAGUGACAAUAAAUACUGAUACAGGGCUCUUUCGGGUCUUGUAAUUGGAAUGAGUACAAUUUAAAUCCCUUAACGAGGAACAAUUGGAGGGCAAGUCUGGUGCCAGCAGCCGCGGUAAUUCCAGCUCCAAUAGCGUAUAUUAAAGUUGUUGAGGUUAAAAAGCUCGUAGUUGAACCUUGGGCCUAGCGGGCCGGUCCGCCUCACCGCGUGCACUGGCUCGGCUGGGUCUUUCCUUCUGGAGAACCGCAUGCCCUUCACUGGGUGUGCC
rnacentral:rRNA from 1 species